rnacentral:rRNA from 1 species
AGCGAACGCUGGCGGCAGGCCUAACACAUGCAAGUCGAACGAAGUCUUCGGACUUAGUGGCGGACGGGUGAGUAACACGUGGGAACGUGCCUUUAGGUUCGGAAUAACUCAGGGAAACUUGUGCUAAUACCGAAUGUGCCCUUCGGGGGAAAGAUUUAUCGCCUUUAGAGCGGCCCGCGUCUGAUUAGCUAGUUGGUGAGGUAAAGGCUCGCCAAGGCGACGAUCAGUAGCUGGUCUGAGAGGAUGAUCAGCCACAUUGGGACUGAAACACGGCCCAAACUCCUACGGGAGGCAGCAGUGGGGAAUCUUGCGCAAUGGGCGAAAGCCUGACGCAGCCAUGCCGCGUGAAUGAUGAAGGUCUUAGGAUUGUAAAAUUCUUUCACCGGGGACGAUAAUGACGGUACCCGGAGAAGAAGCCCCGGCUAACUUCGUGCCAGCCGCCGCCGUAAGAC